rnacentral:misc_RNA from 1 species
CUCGUGCGGCCGACUACCGACGCCGUGUCCCGUCAUUCGUGUGGCUUAUGUUACUGUUGCCUUUCAAGUGCUUGCGUGCAGGUACCCGACCUACGGGAAGUGGUGCUUCGUACACGUUUGCCUCGCGGCGGACUCCUUCGGGUGUCCCGCUGCGGCCAAAUGGCGCUUGCGGCGUUGCCUCGUGGUGCUGGCACGUUUACAUGCCCGGUGCUAUCAAGGCAGCCUCGCUCGUGCUAUUGGUUUUGGAUGUUGCUCACGAUAAAGGCUCAUGGCCCUUUUGGUUGCCUAGACCCGACCCUCAAGAAGCUCUCCGAAUCUGAAAGCAUCGUAGAACUGUGUUGCCUCUACCUAUCCACAGUUAGUGGUAGGAUACGUAACAUUCUGGACCGUUGCUAGUAGGAGCUGGAGAGCUUGGCCCGCUCAAUUGCGACAACCGGCCCGGCUGUUGUCCGCCUGUAUUGCCUAGACCCGACACUCAAGAAGCUCUCCGAAUCUGAAAGCAUCGUAGAACUGUGUWGCCUMUACCUAUCCAAGUGGUAGGAUACGUAACAUUCUGGACCGUUGCUAGUAGGAGCUGGAGAGCUUGGCCCCGCUCAAUUUACGAUAAAGGCUCAUGGGCGGGCAACUACCGGCGCUGGACGUCAAAGAGGACGUGCUACCUGGUUGAUCCUGCCAGUA